rnacentral:rRNA from 1 species
CCAAUAGCGUAUAUUAAAGUUGUUGCAGUUAAAAAGCUCGUAGUUGAAUUUCGGGGUCAGUAGAUUGGUCAUGCCACUGGUAUGUACUGGUCUCACUGAUUCCUCCUUCCUGAUGAGCCGUAAUGCCAUUAAUUUGGUGUUGCGAGGAAUCUGGACUGUUACUUUGAAAAAAUUAGAGUGUUUAAAGCAGGCUAACGCUUGAAUACAUUAGCAUGGAAUAAUGAAAUAGGACGUUCGAUCUUAUUUUGUUGGUUUCUAAGAUUGACGUAAUGAUUAAUAGGGAUAGUUGGGGGCAUUAGUAUUCAAUUGUCAGAGGUGAAAUUCUUGGAUUUAUUGAAGACUAACUACUGCGAAAGCAUUUGCCAAGGAUGUUUUCAUUAAUCAAGAACGAAAGUUAGGGGAUCGAAGACGAUCAGAUACCGUCGUAGCCUUAACCAUAAACUAUGCCGACUAGGGAUCGGAUGAUGUUAAUUUUUUAAUGACUCAUUCGGCGCCUUACG